rnacentral:rRNA from 1 species
UUAAGCUAUAAAGAGCAUAGGGUGGAUGCCUAGGCACUGAGAGCCGACGAAAGACGUGAUAAGCUGCGAUAAGCUGCGGUAAGGAGCAAAUAUCCAUUGACCCGCAGAUUUCUGAAUGGGGAAACCUACGCAAGAAGACCUUGCGUACUCAUACAUGAAUACAUAGUGUAUGAGAGGGAACCCGGGGAACUGAAACAUCUAAGUACCCGGAGGAAGAGAAAGAAACAUCGAUUUCCUGAGUAGCGGCGAGCGAAAGGGAAAGAGCCCAAACCAGAGGAUUUAUCCUUUGGGGUUAGGACUGCAUAAUUGAUCUGCAAUUGAUAGGAGAACGGUCUGGGAAGUCCGGCGAGAAAGCGUGAAAGCCGCGUAUCCGAAAUCGAAAGCAGCAAGGCAGGAUCCAGAGUACCACGAGACACGAGAAACCUUGUGGGAAUGAGCGGAGACCACUCCGUAAGGCUAAAUACUACUCAGUGACCGAUAGCGCAUAGUACUGUGAAGGAAAGGUGAAAAGGACCCCGGGAGGGGAGUGAAAGAGAACCUGAAACCCUGUGUUUACAAGCUGUCGAAGCACGCAAGUGCGACGGCGUACUUUUUGUAGAACGGUCCGGCGAGUUAUGAUGAGUGGUAAGGUUAAGGACUUAAGGUCCGGAGCCGAAGCGAAAGCGAGUGUUAAAAGCACGGUUGAAUCGCUUAUCAUAGACCCGAAACCGGGUGAUCUAUCCAUGUCCAGGUUGAAGCUGCCGUAAGAGGUAGUGGAGGACCGAACACACAUCCGUUGAAAAGGGUGGUGAUGAGGUGUGGAUAGGGGAGAAAUUCCAAUCGAACCCGGAGAUAGCUGGUUCUCCUCGAAAUAGCUUUAGGGCUAGCCUCUGGUUAGUCUGCCGCAGGUAGAGCACUGAAUUUCCUAGGGGGCGUCAAAGCCUACCGAAGAAUAUCAAACUGCGAAUGCCGUACAGAUGAUUUACGGGAGUCAGACUGCACGAGAUAAGUUGGGUGGUCAAAAGGGAAAGAGCCCAGACCUACAGCUAAGGUCCCAAAGUGUGUGUUAAGUGGAAAAGGAUGUGGGAUUUCGAAGACAACUAGGAUGUUGGCUCAGAAGCAGCCACACAUUCAAAGAGUGCGUAAUAGCUCACUAGUCGAGAGGUCCUGCGCCGAAAAUGUCCGGGGCUAAAACACAACACCGAAGCUUAGGAAUUCUAAUGAAUUGGUAGAGGAGCAUUGAAGACGGAACGAAGCCAUACCGUAAGGAAUGGUGGACUGUCUUGAAGAGAGAAUGCCGGAAUGAGUAGCGAGAUUGAAGUGAGAAUCUUCAAGGCCGAAUAUCUAAGGUUUCCAGGGUAAAGCUGAUCUGCCCUGGGUAAGUCGGGGCCUAAGGCAAGGUCGAAAGACGUAGUCGAUGGAUAACAGGUUGAAAUUCCUGUACUGCAUCAAAUCAGAAAUGUGGGGACACAUGAGGGAAGCAUGAGCCGGAAAAGGAAAGUCCGGUACAAGCGCAGCAGAGGACAGAUAGGAAAAACCGUCUGUCAACUCGAGGGCGUGAUGUGGAGCGAACCAAAGUAGCGAAGCAUGUGGAGCUUGUGUCGAGAAAAGCCGCUAUAGUGUUUGAUGUACCCGUACCGUAAACCGACACAGGUGGAUGAGGAGAGAAUCCUAAGGCCGGCGGGAGAAGCAUUGUUAAGGAACUCGGCAAAAUGACCCCGUAACUUCGGGAGAAGGGGUGCCUCUGUAACAGGAGGCCGCAGAGAAUUGGCCCAAGCAACUGUUUAGCAAAAACACAGGUCUAUGCAAAACCGAAAGGUGAGGUAUAUGGGCUGACGCCUGCCCGGUGCUGGAAGGUUAAGAGGAGAGGUUAGCGCAAGCGAAGCUUUGAAUUUAAGCCCCAGUAAACGGCGGCCGUAACUAUAACGGUCCUAAGGUAGCGAAAUUCCUUGUC